GGAUUGUGGUUCAGUGGUAGAGCGCUCUCCUCUCACGAGUGGGACCUGGGUUCGAUCCUCAGCACCA
rnacentral:tRNA from 1 species